CCACCAGCUAAGGUCCCAAAAUAUAUGUUAAGUGGAAAAGGAUGUGGCGUUGCCCAGACAACUAGGAUGUUGGCUUAGAAGCAGCCAUCAUUUAAAGAGUGCGUAAUAGCUCACUAGUCGAGUGACACUGCGCCGAAAAUGUACCGGGGCUAAACAUAUUACCGAAGCUGUGGAUUGUCCUUUGGACAAUGGUAGGAGAGCGUUCUAAGGGCGUUGAAGCAUGAUCGUAAGGACAUGUGGAGCGCUUAGAAGUGAGAAUGCCGGUGUGAGUAGCGAAAGACGGGUGAGAAUCCCGUCCACCGAUUGACUAAGGUUUCCAGAGGAAGGCUCGUCCGCUCUGGGUUAGUCGGGUCCUAAGCUGAGGCCGACAGGCGUAGGCGAUGGAUAACAGGUUGAUAUUCCUGUACCACCUAUAAUCGUUUUAAUCGAUGGGGGGACGCAGUAGGAUAGGCGAAGCGUGCGAUUGGAUUGCACGUCUAAGCAGUAAGGCUGAGUAUUAGG
rnacentral:rRNA from 1 species